CCAGGCAGUGAUGAUCAUUGGGGCUUCCAUGAACAGCACUACAGUCGGCUAAUUGCCAAGGCCUUUGUUCAUACCAGUUUGCAAAAACUAGACGCAAAACAUCAUUGUGAUGUCACGUGAUUGAUGGGUGGUCACACCCCAGGAUUAGGGACUAUGACAAGUUUGACACUUGGCUUAGCAAUGUUUUCCAUCUGAGAGGGGCAAAUGGCUUUUCUUGCACCUUUCCCAAUAGCAGACAUCAGAAUAUCUAUCUACGGAGCUAUUUUCUAACUGUAAGCUGCAGAACCUAUUGUUUCCCUUCUCGUUAUAGGCACAGACUGUGAUCCAUCCAUCUCAGCCUUAAUACAGGGCCAUAACUGCACUCCUAUAAUUAUGCUAAAUAUUACUGUAGAUGGGACCAGUCUGCUGCUUCAAGCUUUUUGUUGCAUUUCCCAGACCCAGCUUUGCUCGAUCUCCUUUUACCUAUCAUUCUUGGUGCCGUAAGAAACAACAAAUAUCAGUAGUUUCCCAGAAGGUUUUAUUGAGCUAUUUAAUUUCUAAUACAGCUAUUAUGGUGCAGCACAGUAUGCUGUGUGUAAUGCCAAGAAAAAAAUUACAUUCGGACCAAAGGUUGUUUUAAAAGUUUUCACCUGAACUAAACUCUAAGGAAAAUGGUCCAGCACAUAAGUGCACUGUUGCUGAGAAAGCAAUCUUAAAUCUUUUCCAGAUUUUCCAACAUUAUCAUUGUGCUUAACGUGAAGCUACAAAAAAGAUUUGCCUUAAGUGCAUUAUUUUGUUAGUGUUUAUAUGUAGAUUGGCAACGUGUAGCUCCAGGUUUCAGGACUCUUGGCGGGCAACCUCCUAUAUGAACGGGGCCCUCCUGAAGUUCACAAUAAGGACCAGCUGCUUCUUGACAUACACAAUUUUGUAUUUCCUAUAAUGUCCUAGAUGUUGCAUGUGCCCAGGGCAUUGUGGGGAAAACAAAAUGGCAGCAGCCAUUUGGCCAUCAUAUGUUUAUGGCAGGCACAGUUUUGCUUUCCCAUAAUGCUCCAAACCAACACAACAUCAAGGACAUUGUGGGGGAAACAAAAUGUCCACCACCAGCAAAUUUGCAGCCACCAGAUCUGUGUUCUCUGGUAGUGGGGGGGCUAGACCGGGUAGGCAGGCAUUAGUACAGUGGGACCUGCUUUGAUGCAAGCUGCCUGACCUGACAAUGUAUAUGUUGCUGGGCUUGAGUCAAGAUGUGGUUGAGUCUACAAGCAAGUCGAUAGUCAAAAGUCCCUUUUUAUAUUAAGGGUCCCACUGAAAUCACUAUAAAAGGUUAGUGAUAACAGUGUGAAGGUUUUGUUAAAAUUAUGCCAGUUUCCAUCCUGAUCCUCACAAGUUUAUAUUCAAAUAGAUUUAAUUCCAAUGAAGUAAUUUCCUUUGAAACAUACCAAAAUGUUCACUUGGUAAUGUUCAGAGAAAUUAAAAAUUAAGGUAUUUUCCAUUACAAACAAAUGGUUGGAUUUUUUUACCAAACAUUUCUCAUUAAGAAUGCUCUGGCAUUGUUCACCAAGAGUUAAUUUUAAGUUCAGCUAAAGAAUUAUCCAUGGUCAUUGCUACAUUAGUUCCUUGUUUUAUUCAGACAUUAUUUGGGAAUUCUAAGCUGUAUUCCCCCCCCCCUCGAUGGUUACCUCUUCAUUAUGAGCAUCAGAGAGUCACAGAGAGUUUGGGGGGGGGGACUCUAGAUGGAGUUUAUAAUUGGUUUAUUUCCUUCUAUUCCUUCUGUUUCCAUACCAAACGGUGUCUGGAGAAUUGUAUUCCUGUAGCAAGAGCUUUUAGCCAAGCUAAGAAGUGUGUUGCUGGUGCGUUUUACAUCAUAGGGAAGAAAGAAAGAAAAAGACUGAUCAAUACUGGCUGUGGUUUUUAUCAUUAUUGCUAUAAUAAUUAUUUCAGAUUGAAAUGAUGCUGCUAAAUGUGGGAGGGGGGAGGGAGAGAGAGAGAGAGAGAGAGAGAGAGAGAGAGAGAGAAGGGUCAGGGAGAAAAAGAGAAGGAGGAGAGAGAGAAUAUGCUGUGACCCACCAUCCAGAGAGAGAACCCCAUGAAAAGACAGCUGCUAAUGGACAUUUACUGGCUGUCGCCGUGCCAUCAGUUUCCACCAAGAGUGCAUUGUCCUCAAAUAUAAUUGAAAUGAAAUGGGCACCGUGCUGCUGUAAACCUAAAUAGCUUCAAAAUAGUAGGCUAGAAUCACCCAACUUGCUGCGGACACUUUAAUGGAAGCGUAAAUACCGUAAUCAUAUGCUUUUUGCAUUCGCUUUGCCAUUAAAAGGGAAAAAAUGAAAAGGGAAACCUAUGCUAAACUGGUUCCUGUUCUGCUAAAAGUGGGAUGAGGUUAUGUCAUAGAAAUAUAUAGACUGAAGAAUUUUUGGCCAGGACAGAAUAAGCAGGGAAAAAAUUCAUCUCGUCCUUUGUUUAGUCUAUUGGAAAAAAAAACAUGUAUGCUGAGUUUUAAAAAUUGUCACACAUGAUCCUGAUACACUGCUGUCAUAGGAAAGCAAUAGACCAUUUUAUUUUGCUGUUGUUUAUCUCGUAAUAUUUACCUCAGCUUAACUUCUGAGAGGCAGUGGAUUAUUCAGUAAUACAAUUUAGAAAUGCUCUGAAAAAGAAUAAAAAGACUUGCUCUCGGAGGCCUCUAUAAAAAAACCACCUUCUGAGUCAUAUUUUACUAGAGCUGUAAAAUAUUACAUAGCAAUAUCAAGGUAAAUAUUUCUUUAAAAUGGAAAAGCAAGAUACUAGAAUAUUAUAUUAAACUUCAUUAUUUGUAAUGUCAGUCAUGUGAAUGAUCUUUAAAGGCUGAGGUGCCACUGCAUAUAAAUCUAAGCUUUCUGCCAAACCUAUAAUAGAUGGAGAGAUACGAGUUAUUCCUCAGGAUAACACUUUCUGUAAGUGCUGGAAAUUUAUUUCUUUUUUCUCUUUAAUGGAGAGGUUUAGACUUGCUAUGAAGUCGUACCUUAGAACUGCUAUGGCAAAAGUGAAAGGUCACAAUUUUAUUACUAUUCCCAGCCGCAAUGCAUUCUGGAGAAAGCCUGUGGAUUUAUUAACUCUCCCCCACCUUUUGCUGUGGUUACUUAUAAGUCCCCAAAUGGGCAAGCUUGCUUAUGUUGAGUUGCACCUCGUUCUGCGAAUUAGUCCCAUUGAGGACAGUUUUAAUGAGUCUGCUAGAAAGGGAAUGCUUUCACUCAACAUAGUUAUGAAUAACUGUGUGAGGUUGCUGUUUGUUAUGUGCGCCUCAGGAUCUCGAAAGUCAGUUCAACUGCUGAUGGCCUCAAGGACAGCCAGACCUGCUAAACUUUUUUGAGAAAGGGGCCUGUUCCCUUUUGUGAAACAAAAGAAGAGGCCCCUGAGGCAACUCAACUUCUCACCUCCUUAAAACAGCAUCAGCAUUGCACUCAAACAUUGCUCUCUAGUGUCCAUGAGUAGGGUUAUGAAAGCCCUGCUUGCGAAUGAGUGUGCCUACUCAAAGGAACCUUGGGAUUUGAUACCUUUCAUUUCACAAAUCGAACCCUGCCAGAUACCUAAUGUGUUCCCUUUCAACUGACCUCAAAAAUUUCAGUAUAAUAGGCUGAGAUCCAAAUGAUCAUGAACCUAAGCGAUGGUUAAACUUGUUAUCUUCAAACCUCUCUCACACACAAAACACCCACCCACACCAUGGCAAACUACGUUUGAAUCCGAUAGGUGUUUAAGGCAGCUUAUGAUCUGCCAUUGGGGUUUGCUGUUGAAAGUGUGGGUGUGAGAAAGCACUUUCAAGGCAAAAACAUGGAUGUAGAAACUUUGUGUGGCUAGAGAACAUAGGAGCCAACUCCUAGUGGCUGUGGGGGCUUUGGCCAACCACAAUAAAAUAUUUGAGGGGGCCGUGCCCCCACAAAUUUGAUGAGCAUUCCCAUUCAAAUGGUUUGUGUGCACUGCAUCAUGUAAUCAAUUAUGUGGGGUGGGGCUUACCUGGGCCCCCACAAUAUUUUAUUCAGGUUGGCAUCCCUGCUAGAGAACAAAAACUUGAUAGACUUUCAUGUCAGAUUGGUAGCCAGCAUACAAAGGAAGGCCCUGCAGGACAAACUGUACCUGCUAUAUUCUGUAAUAUAUGUUGUCACAUCAGCAGAGUUGCCAAAUCCUGGAAGUAAAAAAAAUCUGGUAUGUGGAUUUGACCUGUGAGCAUGUUAUAGUAGCAAGCACAAUGGCAAAGGCUAGAGAUUUGAUAGCCCUGAAAAAUGGAAGAAUUCAGGGGAAAGGCCAUUUUGUCUUGUACCGAGUAUUCCCAUCCAUUUUUUUCCAGGUGGCAGGCAUGUGUCAACUAGACUUGCACAUUUAUGCACUUAGGAGAUGUCAUUAAGUUAUCAGGUGAUGUGGACUAGGUAACAGUCCUGAAAUUAGCUUGCCAUUAUGAGGCUGAAUCCCCAAACCUGAUUCUAGGAACCAUAGCAUGAGAUCUGACAAUCCAAAGGAUUUGACAGAUGAACACAUUCAAACAGCCUGGCCUCUGAUAUGAAGCUGGACAAGUUAGUUGGUCAUACUUUAAAAAUUCCAGGUAAUUUCCUUCAACGUACCUGUAUUCUUGUUUGGAUAACAUGUAUCUGAUGAGUAUUUUUUACUGGUUUUUCUUCAGCUAUUGGUGGGUUCCCAGUUGUUACCACAAACCCUUCUGUCUGGAUUCAAUGGGAAUAUGAAAAAUAACCUUUUCUUGUCACCAUAAGCAAGCAUAUCCUGCUGAGGAGCAGGGAAUAUUGAUAUUAUAGACAAAGGUGGUCAUGAGCAUCACCAACACCCCAAAAAAUCCUGACAAUGACUGACUUCUGAAUAUUGCACUUGAUUUAUAGACUUUGAUAUGCAGUUUUCUAUUUUACUGCUGCUUGUAACAUGAACCAACAGGCCCUUCAUCUGUUCCCCAAACAGACCAAUAAGAAUUGUUUGCUCUUCCACAGACUCUGAGUAAAGGAAGCAAUUGGUCCCACUAACUUUGGUAUUUAGUGGUCUUAGGUUACUACUCUCCCUCCUGCCAAGACGGAUGCAAUAAAAAUCCGGUUUUAAUAUAAAUUCAUGAGGAUUUAUGCAGAGCCCCUAUUGUGAAGUAUAUUUGCUGUGACUCUGUUCAGUGUUUGGGUUAUGACUUUGAAGGUAUAGCGGGGAGGAUUCAUAAUGAGUGUUAGACAGAUAUUCUUGAGUCUUUCUAGCAAGACUAAGCUGAUAUGGCUGCAAAACUAGUUAACUUUGCAGUUACAAUGGACAAAUAAUUGUGGCUUUCUUGCCCCAUUUUUUUUUCCUGCCUUUAUCGCCUUAAUGAGGUUUGUUUUAUAAUCAAAGGGCUGAAACUGUUUGUUUAUUAUUCUUUUUUUUAAAGCCUGGCAUGGUUCUUUAAGACAUUCUAUACAUGGGAGAAUGUAUGGAAAGAUAAGAAAGGAAUGGGCUUCCCCUAGCAGGUUGCAAAACAGGAAGAAAAUGAGAGGCCCACCCAAAAGUUCACCUUAUAGAUAAAAUAAUUGAAGGUCACUUAACAAUCAUUCUUUGUUAUGAGCUAGCAAUAGCUCAAUCCAGUUCUGCAAAUGUUUUACUUAAGCACAACAGCUGUCAGUAGCAAGCCAAGAGAGCUUUUUUAAAGUACAAUUUACUUUAGGAGUGAGUCAGAACUUGUCACCCUUAAUCAGUGUAAUGCUAGAAUUUAUAUGCAGAAAAGGAAUGGUAAGGCAUGUUACUGCUAGAAGAUG